UACGAAGGGGGCAAGCGUUGUUCGGAAUCACUGGGCGUAAAGCGCACGUAGGCGGAUUGUUAAGUCGGGGGUGAAAUCCUGAGGCUCAACCUCAGAACUGCCUUCGAUACUGGCGAUCUUGAGUCCGGAAGAGGUUGGUGGAACAGCUAGUGUAGAGGUGAAAUUCGUAGAUAUUAGCUAGAACACCAGUGGCGAAGGCGGCCAACUGGUCCGGAACUGACGCUGAGGUGCGAAAGCGUGGGGAGCAAACAGG
rnacentral:rRNA from 1 species